rnacentral:rRNA from 1 species
AAUGGGCAAAAGCCUGACGGAGCAACGCCGCGUGAGGGAUGAAGGCCUCUGGGCUGUAAACCCCUUUUAUCAAGGAAGAAGAUCUGACGGUACUUGAUGAAUAAGCCACGGCUAAUUCCGUGCCAGCAGCCGCGGUAAUACGGGAGUGGCAAGCGUUAUCCGGAAUUAUUGGGCGUAAAGCGUCCGCAGGCGGCCCAGAAAGUCUGCUGUUAAAACGUGGAGCUUAACUCCAUCAUGGCAGUGGAAACUGUUGGGCUUGAGUGUGGUAGGGGCAGAGGGAAUUCCCGGUGUAGCGGUGAAAUGCGUAGAUAUCGGGAAGAACACCAGUGGCGAAGGCGCACUGCUGGGCCAUCACUGACGCUCAUGGACGAAAGCCAGGGGAGCGAAAGGGAUU